rnacentral:rRNA from 1 species
GAUGAACGCUGGCGGCGUGCCUAAUACAUGCAAGUCGAGCGAACAGACGAGGAGCUUGCUCCUCUGACGUUAGCGGCGGACGGGUGAGUAACACGUGGAUAACCUACCUAUAAGACUGGGAUAACUUCGGGAAACCGGAGCUAAUACCGGAUAAUAUAUUGAACCGCAUGGUUCAAUAGUGAAAGACGGUUUUGCUGUCACUUAUAGAUGGAUCCGCGCCGCAUUAGCUAGUUGGUAAGGUAGCGGCUUACCAAGGCAACGACGCGUAGCCGACCGGAGAGGGUGACCUGCCAAAGUGGGACGGGGAUACGGCACAGACUCCUACGGGAGGCAGCAGUGGGGAAUAUUGCACAAUGGGCUGAAGACUGAUGCAGCAACGCCGCGUGCGGGAUGACGGCCUUCGGGUUGUAAACCGCUUUCGCCUGUGACGAAGCGUGAGUGACGGUAAUGGGUAAAGAAGCACCGGCUAACUACGUG